rnacentral:rRNA from 1 species
UGGAUUAAUUCGAUGCAACGCGAAGAACCUUACCUGGUUUUGACAUGCACAGGAUCGCGGCAGAGAUGUCGUUUCCCUUGUGGCCUGUGUGCAGGUGGUGCAUGGCUGUCGUCAGCUCGUGUCGUGAGAUGUUGGGUUAAGUCCCGCAACGAGCGCAACCCUUAUUCCAUGUUGCCAGCACGUAGUGGUGGGGACUCAUGGGAGACUGCCCGGGUCAACUCGGAGGAAGGUGGGGAUGA